UGGGGAAUCUUGCGCAAUGCGCGAAAGCGUGACGCAGCAACGCCGCGUGGGGGAAGAAGGCCUUCGGGUUGUAAACCCCUUUCAGGAGGGACGAAGGUUCGGCGGUGAAUAGCCGACCGGACUGACGGUACCUCCACAAGAAGCCCCGGCUAACUACGUGCCAGCAGCCGCGGUAAUACGUAGGGGGCUAGCGUUGUCCGGAAUCAUUGGGCGUAAAGCGCGCGUAGGCGGCCCGGUAAGUCCGCUGUAAAAGUCCAGGGCUCAACCCUGGAAAGCCGGUGGAUACUGCCGGGCUAGAGUCCGGAAGAGGCGAGUAGAAUUCCUGGUGUAGCGGUGGAAUGCGCAGAUAUCAGGAGGAAUACCCAUAGCGAAGGCACCUCGCUGGGACGGUACUGACGCUAAGGCGCGAAAGCGUGGGGAGCGAACAGG
rnacentral:rRNA from 1 species